rnacentral:rRNA from 1 species
CCUACGGGGGGCUGCAGUGGGGAAUAUUGGACAAUGGGGGGAACCCUGAUCCAGCCAUGCUGCGUGUGUGAAGAAGGCCCUCGGGUUGUAAAGCACUUUCAGUGAGGAAGAACGCCUGGUGGUUAAUACCCAUCAGGAAAGACAUCACUCACAGAAGAAGCACCGACUAACUCCGUGCCAGCAGCCGCGGUAAUACGGAGGGUGCGAGCGUUAAUCGGAAUUACUGGGCGUAAAGCGCGCGUAGGUGGCUUGAUAAGCCGGUUGUGAAAGCCCCGGGCUCAACCUGGGAACGGCAUCCGGAACUGUCAAGCUAGAGUGCAGGAGAGGAAGGUAGAAUUCCCGGUGUAGCGGUGAAAUGCGUAGAGAUCGGGAGGAAUACCAGUGGCGAAGGCGGCCUUCUGGACUGACACUGACACUGAGGUGCGAAAGCGUGGGUAGCAAACAGGAUUAGAUACCCCGGUAGUC